rnacentral:lncRNA from 1 species
AGCAUUUCCUAAACAAAAAUGCAAAACAAACCCUAAGUCUUUCAAUUUUCCCUGAAUACUCAUCCGCUUCCGAAGCACUAGAAAAAUUCCUCUGUAGGAGUUGAAAGCCCUCAUCCGCUUCACAAAUCUCUCUCCUUUAGUCCUAACUCCUCAGAUUUUCUGAGUUCCUCGGAGUUUCCAAAACAGAAACCAAACACUCCGGAUUCAAAUUGAAAAAAUCUUCUCUUACCACCGUUGCUCCUUCGUGACGACGACCUCGACGUCCAGUGAAACAUCUUCCAUUCAGUAGGUCGGGCUUUUACACCGUCGUCCCCAAGUUGCCAUUUCGUGUGCUGAUCUAUUUGCUGCUCACGGGACAUAUCAUGAGGUAAAUGUUCUAAACAUGGUUGCUCUAUUUUUUUUUAUCUCAUUAAUUUUGUUGCAUAUAAUUGAUCUAUUAAUCUCCGAUGUUUCUAUUCUUUUCAAGACCGGGAGUGCAUCACCUUCUACACAAACGUCACCAAAGCCUAUUUCUUUUGCAAAAAUAAUUGCUUGUAAACAUGCAUGCACUUCUGCCAUUGUUGGGUCUUGGACAUUUUCAAUCGAGUAAACACAUGAGCCCAUAACCAAUCCUAAGUUAUUCCUUAUAAUUACUACUGCAACAAAUCUGUGUGUCUACCGUUGGUAGGAGGCAUCAAAGUAUACUUUAAAUUGUUCUCCCUGUUAGAGUUGUGACCCAAAUUAUUAUUAAAAUAAAAUACAAGUGACAAAAUAGGGGGAUCCACGAGGAAUAAGGCUGAGGUUUUCUAAACAUAUAAGUAGACGCAAUCUAUACUUCUUGUAAUUAUUUGAAUUUGACAUAGUGAAUUUUCUUCUCCUCUGCUCGUGAUUUUUUUUUCUAAAAGGGUUUUCAUGUAAAAUCCGUGUUAUAUUUUUCUCUCUUUUCUUACCAUUAUCAACAUUAUAUUUUUUUACACUCCUUUUAGAGGUUCCUACUGUAUUUCUCCUAUGUUGUUUCGAUGUACUGUGAUGUCCUCUAACUGUUUUAACUCUACUAUGUAUGCCUUAAUGAAACUGAGAACUUCAAAUGCUAUUUCUCUUUUACCUUCAUGAUAUAACUUGUUUUUAUUGUGCCAAAUGGCCCACUAUGCAAUGGCUAUGUUUAUGCUUUGCAAACUUUACAAUUUAAAGAAAACAUAUACUAACAAAAAUUUCCAUCCUUGAUUUGUGUUUGUGUGAGAGGAUACCAUUCUUAUCUCUUGAAGCACUUGUUUCGUAAAGGCACAGUCUCAGAAAAGAUGGUCUACUAUUUCGUCUUAGUUUUUGCAGAUCGGGCAAAGGGCCUUCUCCCUUAGCCUUCGAUACUUUAGGUUACUUAAUAUAGACAGAAAAUUAUUAGAAACCUUCUAUAGGUGUAUUCUAAUUUUAUUUGGGAUUUUGAGAUUCCAUAGUUCUGUAUAAUAAUUUUUUGUAGCGAUGUCUUGUAAAUUAUUAUCAUUCUUUGUCUCGUCUUGGACGCCUGUAAUGCACCACUUGUACCCGCUUUUGACCAAGUAUUCUGUCGUAUUUUCCCCUAUCCAGAUUAAAGCAUUUGGAUAAGAGUUGUUCACCAGUGGGAUGGUUAAAAUCAUCUUGGCUUGCUCAUUCAUGAACAGUAUUUCUACUAACUCCGUUUUUUAGGUUUUAGUCUCGCUAUUAAUGAGGUCUGCAACCUUCGAAUAUCUAAUAUCAAUAUUCUGAAUUUUUACCUUCCGAUUUCCAGGACCUGGAAUCCAUGCAUCGUUCUAUAUAUUCAUUGUCCGGCCAUUCCCAAUUCUCCAGCCAAUACCAUCUUCCAAAAUGCUACAAGUACCAAAACUGCUUCGCUAGGUAAAAGAAAGGUGAGAUCCUAAACCUGCGUUCAUAAACUCACUUAGCUUUCAUUACUCGCGUAAGUAAACUGGUAGAAUUGGUAGUUAGUUUCCAACCCUUCUUCGCUGAAAGGGCUU